rnacentral:rRNA from 1 species
CCUUCGGGGUACACGAGCGGCGAACGGGUGAGUAACACGUGAGCAACCUGCCCCUGACUCUGGGAUAAGCGGUGGAAACGCCGUCUAAUACCGGAUACGACUCAUCACCUCAUGGUGGUGGGUGGAAAGUUUUUUCGGUUGGGGAUGGGCUCGCGGCCUAUCAGCUUGUUGGUGGGGUAAAGGCCUACCAAGGCGAUUACGGGUAGCCGGCCUGAGAGGGCGACCGGCCACACUGGGACUGAGACACGGCCCAGACUCCUACGGGAGGCAGCAGUGGGGAAUAUUGCACAAUGGGCGAAAGCCUGAUGCAGCGACGCCGCGUGGGGGAUGACGGCCUUCGGGUUGUAAACCUCUUUUACCACUAACGCAGGCUCCCAGUUCUCUGGGGGUUGACGGUAGGUGGGGAAUAAGGACCGGCUAACUACGUGCCAGCAGCCGCGGUAAUACGUAGGGUCCGAGCGUUGUCCGGAAUUAUUGGGCGUAAAGAGCUCGUAGGCGGCGUGUCGCGUCUGCUGUGAAAGACCGGGGCUUAACUCCGGUUCUGCAGUGGAUACGGGCACGCUAGAGGUAGGUAGGGGAGACUGGAAUUCCUGGUGUAGCGGUGAAAUGCGCAGAUAUCAGGAGGAACACCGGUGGCGAAGGCGGGUCUCUGGGCCUUACCUGACGCUGAGGAGCGAAAGCAUGGGGAGCGAACAGGAUUAGAUACCCUGGUAGUCCAUGCCGUAAACGUUGGGCGCUAGGUGUGGGGACUUUCCACGGUUUCCGCGCCGCAGCUAACGCAUUAAGCGCCCCGCCUGGGG